GCUGAUAUGGCUCAGUUGGUAGAGCGCACCCUUGGUAAGGGUGAGGUCCCCAGUUCAACUCUGGGUAUCAGCACCA
rnacentral:tRNA from 1 species